rnacentral:lncRNA from 1 species
CAAUGCGUCGAAUGAAGUAUUUCUUUAUCUGUAUUCGUGUCCCUUGUAACAUGUUUUAAUUUUUUUAGUUAAUGUGUGGGAGACAUUCACAUGUGGUCAUAAAUGAACUACUCCAGAAAUAAGAUUAAUUAAUUAAUUAAUAGAUUAAGAAUUAGAUAAAUUAAUCAAGAUAUAGCUGUGAUAAAGAUUUGAUACGAAGGAUCUUCUCCAAAAAUAGAUUUGAUAUCAAGGAAAAGGUAUUAUAAAUUCAGCCCGAAGAUUCUUUCGGCCUAAACUGGCCACUAUGUUUUACGAAU